rnacentral:rRNA from 1 species
AGAGAGUUCAAGAGUACGUGAAACCGUUUAGGGGUAAACCUGAGAAACCCGAAAGGUCGAAGGGAGAAAUUCAUUCGCGUCUCGAGGCAGGCGUCGGACGGGGUCGAGCGACGGAACGGGCGCGCGUUUUUCUUCGGAAUCGCGCGUUCGACUUCGCGCCCUCCGUCCGUUCGAACCGGCAGCGAACGCGUGCACUUUUCUCCUGGUAGGACGUCGCGAUCCGUCGGGCGUCGGUCUACGACUUGCGGCGGAGACCGUCCGUCGUUCUUCGGAACGUACGGCGCGGACCCGCUCGUUCCGGCCGACUCGCUCGACGGUACAAAUCGAGGUCUGGGGUCGCUGCUACUUUUAGUCUCGCGUUCGCGCGCGAGACGAAAAAGAGAGCGUUCGACUCGUCGCAAGCGCGUCACGUGCGUCGGCACGCGGACCCGGUGCCGCGUCCGAUCUCUGGCGACUGUUGGCGACGAUUAGUUCUCGAACAGACUUCCCUCUCGGGGGGGGAGAGAGGGGUCAAACUCUUUCUCUCUCUCUCGAAGACCGAUCGGCGACGCUAUAGCUUUGGGUACUUUCAGGACCCGUCUUG